rnacentral:rRNA from 1 species
GCAGCCGCGGUAAUACGGAGGGUGCGAGCGUUAAUCGGAAUUACUGGGCGUAAAGCGCAUGCAGGUGGUUUGUUAAGUCAGAUGUGAAAGCCCGGGGCUCAACCUUGGGAAUUGCAUUUGAAACUGGCAAACUAGAGUACUGUAGAGGGGGGUAGAAUUUCAGGUGUAGCGGUGAAAUGCGUAGAGAUCUGAAGGAAUACCGGUGGCGAAGGCGGCCCCCUGGACAGAUACUGACACUCAGAUGCGAAAGCGUGGGGAGCAAACAGGAUUAGAUACCCUGGUAGUCCACGCCGUAAACGAUGUCUACUUGGAGGUUGUGGCCUUGAGCCGUAACUUUCGGAGCUAACGCGUUAAGUAGACCGCCUGGGGAGUACGGUCGCAAGAUUAAAACUCAAAUGAAUUGACGGGGGCCCGCACAAGCGGUGGAGCAUGUGGUUUAAUUCGAUGCAACGCGAAGAACCUUACCUACUCUUGACAUCUACAGAAGCCAGCGGAGACGCAGGUGUGCCUUCGGGAACUGUAAGACAGGUGCUGCAUGGCUGUCGUCAGCUCGUGUUGUGAAAUGUUGGGUUAAGUCCCGCAACGAGCGCAACCCUUAUCCUUGUUUGCCAGCACUUCGGGUGGGAACUCCAGGGAGACUGCCGGUGAUAAACCGGAGGAAGGUGGGGACGACGUCAAGUCAUCAUGGCCCUUACGAGUAGGGCUACACACGUGCUACAAUGGCGCAUACAGAGGGCGGCCAACUUGCGAAAGUGAGCGAAUCCCAAAAAGUGCGUCGUAGUCCGGAUUGGAGUCUGCAACUCGACUCCAUGAAGUCGGAAUCGCUAGUAAUCGUGGAUCAGAAUGCCACGGUGAAUACGUUCCUGGGCCUUGUACACACCGCCCGUCACACCAUGGGAGUGGGCUGCAAAAGAAGUGGGUAGUUUAACCUUCGGGAGGACGCUCACCACUUUGUGGUUCAUGACUGGGGUGAAGUCGUAACAAGGUAACCG